UACAGAGGGUGCAAGCGUUGUUCGGAAUUACUGGGCGUAAAGCGCGUGUAGGUGGCGAUGUAAGUCGGGUGUGAAAUCCCUUGGCUUAACCAAGGAAGUGCAUUCGAUACUGUGUCGCUUGAGUGUUGGAGGGGGUGGCGGAAUUCCCGGUGUAGAGGUGAAAUUCGUAGAUAUCGGGAGGAACACCAGUGGCGAAGGCGGCUACCUGGACCGGUUCUGACGCUGAGGCGCGAAAGCGUGGGGAGCAAACAGG
rnacentral:rRNA from 1 species